GAUGAACGCUGGCGGCGUGCUUAACACAUGCAAGUCGAACGGAAAGGCCAGUGCUUGCACUGGUACUCGAGUGGCGAACGGGUGAGUAACACGUGGGUGAUCUGCCCUGCACUUCGGGAUAAGCCUGGGAAACUGGGUCUAAUACCGGAUAGGACAAUGGUUUGGAUGCCGUUGUGGAAAGUUUUUUCGUUGUGGGAUGAGCUCGCGGCCUAUCAGCUUGUUGGUGGGGUAAUGGCCUACCAAGGCGUCGACGGGUAGCCGGCCUGGGAGGGUGUACGGCCACAUUGGGACUGAGAUACGGCUCAGACUCCGACGGGAGGCAGCAGUGGGGAAUAUUGAACAAUGGGCGCAAGCCUGAUGCAGCGACGCCGCGUGGGGGAUGACGGCCUUCGGGUUGUAAAAUCCUUUCGCUAGGGACGAAGCGUAUUUGUGACGGUACCUGGAGAAGAAGCACCGGCUAACUACGUG
rnacentral:rRNA from 1 species